GCCUUUGUGGCGCAGUGGUAACGCGUCGCACUUGUACUGCUAAAAUUGCAAUCAAUGCGAAGAUCACAAGUUCAAUUCUUGUCGGAGGCA
rfam:Cladophialophora immunda strain CBS 83496 unplaced genomic scaffold supercont1.4, whole genome shotgun sequence.